ACCCAGCUAGCUCAGUUGGUAGAGAAUGAGACUCUCAAUCUCAGGGUUGUGGGUUUGAGCCCCAUGUUGGGCA